AUUGAACGCUGGCGGCAUGCCUUACACAUGCCAGUCGAACGGCCGCACGGGUGCUUGCACCUGGUGGCGAGUGGCGCACGGGUGAGUAAUACAUCGGAACAUGUCCUGUAGUGGGGUAUAGCCCGGCGAAAGCCGGAUUAAUACCGCAUACGAUCUACGGAUGACAGCGGGGGACCUUCGGGCCUCGCGCUUUAGGGUUGGCCGAUGGCUGAUUAGCUAGUUGGUGGGGUAAUGGCCUACCAAGGCGACGAUCAGUAGCUGGUCUGAGAGGACGACCAGCCACACUGGGACUGAGACACGGCCCAGACUCCUACGGGAGGCAGCAGUGGGGAAUUUUGGACAAUGGGCGAAAGCCUGAUCCAGCAAUGCCGCGUGUGUGAAGAAGGCCUUCGGGUUGUAAAGCACUUUUGUCCGGAAAGAAAUCCUUGGCCCUAAUACGGUCGGGGGAUGACGGUACCGGAAGAAUAAGCACCGGCUAACUACGUG
rnacentral:rRNA from 1 species